rnacentral:snoRNA from 1 species
AUGGCCUAGAAAAAACAUAUGAUCUGUUCUAUAGGUUGUACAUCCGUUUCCAUUGACACAAUGGAGACACACAACAAUCUGGAAGAUGACAUAAUGCCACAUGGCCAGAGUGUGAAUACUGGCUUGGGGCCCCACGGGGCUCCUUGAGCCCUAGAGGAUCGCUCUCAACGAGCCAACAGCUGAUGAGUUGGCCAUGUGGCCGUCAAACAGAUC